ACCUUUUUCCCCUCCUCCUCCAGCUACAAACACACUUCUUUUUUAGGGGAAGCUGGAGCCCCGAGGAGAUGGGACCUCACAUAAACCAGGCAGGAGACAUGUCACCAACAUGGAAUCAUUUCCCACCAGAACUCAUACUGAAACCCUAAUUCAUAUUGAAAAGUCUGUGCUCUGCCAUGACUUCAAAUCCAUGGGAUUUGGAUGGUGGCAUUUUUGCAGCCCAGCUGGACGUUGGCAGCACGUGUCUCCUGGGAGAGCUGGCAGACAGGAGCCAAGGGCAGCGUUCUGCUCUGUCUGCACGGGCUGCCCGAGGUUAUUUCUGCACUUGCUAAAGCCAGGGAGAAUGGCUCUGCUUUCCACAGCAAGAGAGGGUUAGUACUUGGAGGGAAAUACAAGCACGAACUUCCACAAGUCUGGGGCCUCUCUUUAUAAAUGAGCAUGGAAAUGAUAUUCUAUUAAAUUAUAUUUAUGCCUUGAAAACACAAUUCUAUCUCUAGCUAUUGCUUAAGGAAGUUUAUAAUUUAACAAUUUACAAUGUACCUAGACUGAUAUACCUGUGUUUCAGGUUCUCCUUUCCACUGAAACUCCACCUUCCCACCUCAGAUUCUCAAUCCAACUCCCUCUUCUCGUGGAGGCUUUUAGAGCCUUCUCAAUCUAUUUUUGGUCACUGUGUCUUUUUAAACAGCUCUGUGUAUCAACCAAAACUGCUCCACACUGAAGGAGGGGAUGUAAUCAACUCCCUCUGUGUGCUGCCACCAAAGCCAAGGUAUGGACAGAAUGCCAACUAUGAAAACAAAGUCAGGGCACUGUACCAGGUGUGAGGUAGGAGAUGAAUCCUGUUGGGAAUCCUCUCUCUCUGGUCCCAGUUUGCCCCUCCCAGCAGGUUGUGCUCAGCUCUGUGCUCAGCAGAGGGGACAGUCCCUGUCCCUGUCCCAUAGAAGGGAGUGAGCCAGGGAUGGGGCAGGGCCAGGCCCAGCAAAUCCCUGCUGGAACUGCCCUGUGAGAAGAGCCAAUGGCCAGCAAGGCUCUGGCUAUUUAGGAAGAACAAACAAGCCCUGGAGUUCAACUCCAGAGCACUCAGAAGGGAAAGAUGACACAGCCCUCAGUGAAUGCUGGUCCCCACCUGACACCCAAUCUCCCCUGGCCUCGUCCAGUCCAUUCCUCUGAAAGCAGAGAACCCCUUCCCUGAUCCUGCCUGAAAGAAACCUUUCCACUGCCUUGCUCCAAGUACUGCUCAUAAAAACCUCCAAAUGGUUCUGGGUUAGGAAGAUUAAAAGCCAACUUACCAGACAUACCAGAGACUUGUCCAAUCAGACAUGUUCUGAGGGCAUCUGUGAAGGAAGGCAGAUGAUUCACUGAUUUAAAUUGUGCAUGUAUGACAGGGAGUGCACUUCCCUGGGCUGGAAAAGGGAAAGCACUCACUAAGAGUAUGGAGCAAAACCAAUUUAGAUUGUUCAUGGUUGUUCCAUUACUCCAGAUGAGAACAUGCAAACAAUCCCACUGUAAAGUUGCUUCUGAAUCAGUAAAUGUUUUUAUUGAGUGGUGCUUUGCUCUUGCUUGGGAGAGAGAAUGACUUGUGCAGGAUUCCCAAAGAGCCAAAUCAGUGUUAUUUAAAGGUAGCUGAGAUGAGGUGCCUCAUACCAGAGGCCUGUCUGAAAAUGCUGGUCUGGACAACUGUCUGUGUCCCCCAGAUAUUUUAAAGUUAUUUUUUCCAUAGCUCCAAUGCAGCCAGAAAUGGCUUUUUCCAUCUCUAGUGCAGUACAAAGGAGGAGAACAGCUCCUGUGCCAUUUCAGCAGGGUUGUGUGUGCUGAACCUCCUGUGCCAGGACAAUGGUCUGACCACAGGACAGCCUCUGCAAACUGCUCAGAAGUGACACUGGGGAGAGAACCGUUCACCUCAGUCCACAGAGCAAGGGAAGGCAAGUGGAAUUUAAAAGUUGCUGACUGUCUUAGAGACCAAAAAAGAAGUUGUAAGGGAUGGCCAUGAGCAAGUCACCGUUCUGGUGUGGGAAUGUCACUUGGUCACGGUGGGAAAGGUUUGGGAACCCGCAGUGGUUACUCACCGGG